CCAACUGGGCAGAGGGAUCCUCCUCUCAUCGCUGCUGUUGUCACUGCUUCAAGCUAUAUAAAGGUUUAAUAGCAACCAAAGGAUCCAAAUAUUUGUGGGUGCAGCUGAGAAGAGCUUCUCCCCUUCCUCUUGACACCCAGCCCUCAGAUAUUUAUUAGAUCCACUCUCCACCAGACCAGAAAGUCAAGAUAAGUUGGAAGCAGACCCUACAAGUAUCACCUGCAGUUUGUUUAGUUUGCAGUUUCCUGCCUACAUUUAACAAUUUUUCAGUGUGCAUUUUCUUGUAAUAGAAAGAAUUUUCAAAAGAAAUGGAUAAGCUUAACUACCACGUAGGAAUUAUGAAGCUUAAAAGGAUUUUUAUAUUGGAGAAAAAACAAUUUGAUGUUUUGUAAGGGGAGUGAAAAUAUAGAUUUAAGUGUCAUUAGCUGCAUCUAAUGUUUUACUUGGUGUUGUGGUAAGCCUGAUGGGCCCAAAAUAGACUUAAUACAUAUCCUGGCUUGCCCUGGCAUGUUUUUCUGCUCCACCAGAGAAGCAAGCGCAGGAAAAGAACACAAAAGGACUUGGAGCCACUAAGUCUAAGGACUCUGGCCUGCCCAGGGUCCUGUGGUAAACAAGGUACACACAUUUAGCUUGUGCCUGCCUUGUGCAACACCUGUGCUUUUCCCAAAUUUGGGUAAAGUGAGCCUAUGGCUUUGCAUAAUAUGGUAAGGUUUGGCUAACUGCUAUUCUGUGUCCAAAGGGCAAUCAAUCUCUGCCCACGUUGUUUACCUGUGUAUGUCCUUUUAUCAAUGUGCUCUCUGCCAUUGCCUGCUGUAAUUGCUUACUGCCUUAUUGUUUACCUGGAAAAUCCACUGUUGCAAGUUUACCAGGAACAGGCUUUGAAUGCUUCUGCGUGAUUGGCCUCCCUGACUGGCAUGACGCAGUGCUGAGAUUGAACAUUGUAAGACACUUGAAGUCUCCUGCCAAGACUAGAAGCCCUGCACUAGAAGUCCUUGUCCAGAGGAGCCAGGAGACAACGUCAGAUUUUAUGCCUCCUUUCCCCAGAAGCCUGGAUGAC